AUUGAACGCUGGCGGCAGGCCUAACACAUGCAAGUCGAGCGGGGUUUUCGGACCUAGCGGCGGACGGGUGAGUAAUGCGUAGGAAGCUGCCCGAUAGAGGGGGAUACCAGUUGGAAACGACGGUUAAUACCGCAUAAUGUCUACGGACCAAAGUGUGGGACCUUCGGGCCACAUGCUAUCGGAUGCGCCUACGUGGGAUUAGCUAGUUGGUGAGGUAAUGGCUCACCAAGGCGACGAUCUCUAGCUGGUUUGAGAGGAUGAUCAGCCACACUGGAACUGAGACACGGUCCAGACUCCUACGGGAGGCAGCAGUGGGGAAUAUUGGACAAUGGGCGCAAGCCUGAUCCAGCCAUGCCGCGUGUGUGAAGAAGGCCUUCGGGUUGUAAAGCACUUUCAGCGAGGAGGAAGGGGUGUGUGUUAAUAGUACACACCUUUGACGUUACUCGCAGAAGAAGCACCGGCUAACUCUGUGCCAGCCGCCGCCGUAAUAC
rnacentral:rRNA from 1 species